CUCAGGAUGAACGCUAGCGGCAGGCCUAAUACAUGCAAGUACGAAGGGGCCAGUAAUGGCACCCGGGCGGACGGGUGCGUAACGCGUACACAACGUACCUUUGGGUGGGGGAUAGCAUCGGGAAACUGGUGGUAAUACCCCAUGGUAUUGGAAACUGGCAUCAGUUUUCUAAUUAAAGACUACGCCCAAAGAUCGGUGUGCGUCUGAUUAGCUAGUUGGUAGGGUAACGGCCUACCAAGGCGACGAUCAGUAGGGGAUGUGAGAGCAUGAUCCCCCACACGGGUACUGAGACACGGACCCGACUCCUACGGGAGGCAGCAGUAAGGAAUAUUGGUCAAUGGGCGCAAGCCUGAACCAGCCAUGCCGCGUGCAGGAAGAAGCAUCUAUGGUGUGUAAACUGCUUUUAUACAGGAAGAAACAACUCUACGUGUAGAGUCUUGACGGUACUGUAAGAAUAAGGACCGGCUAACUCCGUG
rnacentral:rRNA from 1 species